rnacentral:lncRNA from 1 species
UAAGACCCUGUUUCACGAAAACAAAAACAAAAACAAAAACAAAAAAACAAACAACACAUAGUUGGUGCUCAAUAAACAGUCACUUCCAGCAUGACCACCACUUUAGCCUAUGGUUAGUUACUUCAGCAUCCCCAACUCCCAACCCCCAUGCCCCGCCCAAUGUGCUGGAGACUUGGCAGGUGGACCAGUCAGGAAGCCAACUGCCCAUCUCUCACUGCUGCCUUCACCCAGCCCAGCAUUGCUAUUUCCUGCUACCAGCAGGCUGGGGGCCUGGUUCUUUCACUAGAGCUACCAUGCACUGAGCCAGCAUCUGAUAUGUGUUAACUCAUUCCAUUCUCAAAAGCCACUGAUAUCAUCUUGCAGGAUGGAUUUGGGACCUAGCAAGACUGACUUAUCCAAGGUCACAUUGCCGAUAAGAGGAACAACUGGGGUUCAAACCAAGGCAGCUGGGUCCAGAGCCUACGUGCUUAACCACUACCCUCUUGUCGCCUCUCUUAGUGGCAAAUGAUAAAAACCCACUUCCUAAGAGUUAAGGCAGACAGGAAAAUGUGUACAUCAUGGAGCCAAAUUGGAGAAGAAAUACAGCUGGGUGGGCCUUAAAGUUAGUUGAAACCUGGAACAUAAACGCUGCCAGGACCGUAUCCCUGGCCCUUAACGCUGCCAGGACCGUAUCCCUGGCCCUUGGCUUUCUGUGCAUGUAGGUUCGGCUCCCAGACCAACCCUCUCCACCAAGCUCAGGAUACCAUCUAGUUUCACAUUUCCCGGCAUCAUCUGCUGCUGCCUGAACCCGAACUCACCAUUGGAGGCUUUGGCAUCAAUAAUCCCAGGGGAGGGCUCUGACUGGCCCCGUUUGGCCCAGAUAGUAAUCCUUGGACCAAUCAGUGAGGCCCAGGCAGGAGGGGGUCUCCCACAGGCCCGGCUUGUCUUCAGUCUCUGGCACGGAGGGUGGGGUCACGUGACAACACGGAAGUAGCCCUCGCCCCCGCAAUGAGGCAGUGUGGUGGGUGGGGAGAUGGUUUUUCAGAGGAAGGGAGGAUUCGGACUGGCCAGAAAAAAAAAUUGCGGUCUACCUACCCUGCCCAGCCUGUGAGAAUCGCACAGGCCCAGCAGAGGGGAAGCACAAAAUGUAAUUUACCUAUCAGAGCCCUGAGGAAAGCCCUGAAUUGGAUACUUGGGUUUCUCAUGAGGUUUAUCAUCUUUACGAAAUCAUGCAGUGAUGAGUGUGCUUGUUCAUGGAUCUUUGCGUCUCUUUCUGUAACAUACCUUGAAGAGGAAUUCUCAGAAGCAGAGUGCUGGGUGUGUGCAGUGAGUUGGGGUUUUGUUCAUCCUGCAGCCGGCAUGCCCUCCGUGCUGGUCAUACCAGUUGACACCCCCCCCAGUGCAGUGUGCAAUUCUCUUUUCACCACAUCCUGGCCCCUACUGGGUUUUACUUAAUAGAGAAAAAACAAAAAAACCCACAAAACCAAAAAACUUUGCUACAUAUGCAUUUCAGUUUUUUAAACCAUAGAAACAAUACACUCUAUCAAAAACAUUUUAAAGAACAAAAGUGGGUCGGGCGCGUUGGCUCAUGCCUGUAAUCCUAGCACUUUGGGAGGCCGAGGCAGGUGGAUCACCUGAGGUCGGGAUUUUGAGACCAGCCUGACCAACAUGAUGAAACCCCCCGUCUCUACUAAAAAUACAAAAUUAGCCGGGCGUGGUGGCGCAUGCCUGUAAUCCCAGCUGCUUGGGAGGCUGAGGCAGGAGAAUUGCUUGAACCCGGAAGGUGGAGGUUGCAGUGAGCCGAGAUCGUGCCAUUGCACUCCAGCCUGGGCAACAAGAAUGAAACUCCAUCUG